rnacentral:rRNA from 1 species
GACGAACGCUGGCGGCGUGCUUGACACAUGCAAGUCGAACGGAAAGGCCUGCUUUCCCUUGUGGAUUGCGGGUACUCGAGUGGCGAACGGGUGAGUAACACGUGAGUGAUCUGCCCCCAACUUGGGUAUAAGCCUGGGAAACUGGGCCUAAUUCCCGAUAGGACUGCAGGGUGGUGCCUGUGGUGGAAAACGUUUUUUUAGUGGUAGGGGAUGAGCCCGCGGCUUAUCAGCUUGUUGGUGGGGUAAUGGCCUACCAAGGCGGCGACGGGUAGCCGGCCGGAGAGGGUGGACGGCCACAUUGGGACUGAGAUACGGCCCAGACUCCUACGGGAGGCAGCAGUGGGGAAUAUUGCACAAUGGGCGGAAGCGUGAUGCAGCGACGCCGCGUGGAGGAUGACGGCCUUCGGGUUGUAAACUCCUUUCGACCGCGAGGAAGCCACCUGGUUGGAAGGGUGGUGACGGUAGUGGUAGAAGAAGCACCGGCUAACUACGUG